GAAUUUAAGCAUAUCAAUAAGCGGAGGAAAAGAAACCAACAGGGAUUGCCUCAGUAACGGCGAGUGAAGCGGCAACAGCUCAAAUUUGAAAGCUGGCUCUUGCAGAGCCCGCGUUGUAAUUUGUAGAGGAUGCUUCGGGUGCGGCGCUGGUCUAAGUUCUUUGGAACAAGACGUCAUAGAGGGUGAGAAUCCCGUAUGUGACUAGCUGCCUGUGCCUGUGUGAAGCUCCUUCGACGAGUCGAGUUGUUUGGGAAUGCAGCUCAAAAUGGGUGGUGUACUUCAUCUAAAGCUAAAUAUUGGCCAGAGACCGAUAGCGCACAAGUAGAGUGAUCGAAAGAUGAAAAGCACUUUGGAAAGAGAGUUAAACAGUACGUGAAAUUGUUGAAAGGGAAGCGCUUGCAAUCAGACUUGCGCGGCGUCGAUCAACCUGGGUUCUCCCUGGUGCACUCGGCGCUGCUCAGGCCAGCAUCAGUUUCAGCGGUUGGAUAAAGGCCUAGGGAACGUGGGUUACUUCGGUGACUGUUAUAGCCCUAGGUGCAAUGCAGCUGCUGGGACUGAGGACCGCGCUUCGCUAGGAUGCUGGCGUAAUGGUUGUAAGCGACCCGUCUUGAAACACGGACCAAGGAGUGUAAUAUUUAUGCGAGUUUUUGGGUGUUAAACCCAUAAGCGUAAUGAAAGUGAACGGAGGUGAGAACCCUUAAGGGUGCAUCAUCGACCGAUCCUGAUGUCUUCGGAUGGAUUUGAGUAAGAGCAUAACUAUUGCGACCCGAAAGAUGAUGAUCUAUACUUGAAUAGGGUGAAGCCAGAGGAAACUCUGGUGGAGGCUCGCAGCGGUUCUGACGUGCAAAUCGAUCGUCAAAUUUGGGUAUAGGGGCGAAAGACUAAUCGAAUCAUUGCAUUGCACAAAAAGAAUUGUUGCUAGGUGAUUGAGAGAUAUAUAUGAAAUAUGUAUAUCUAGUUCCUGACAGAGGAGCUAUACUGCAAAAUUGCGGGGACCCUCUUAUUGCCUAAACUACUGCUACCUGUGCUGAAAAGCUAGAGAGCGCCAGUAAUUGCUGGAUAUAGUAAUAAUGUUUAGGAUUGAGCAACCCGCAGCCGUUCCCUAAAGCAGUUGUACUGCCAUGGGCCUGGUUCAUCGACUAGAUGGCAGUAGGUAUGGCCAAAAAUUACUUGGCUAUGUCUAAGGUAUAGUCAGACUGUAAUAGAGAUAUUAUGGAGAGGUCUGGUACUAUUAUACUGGAUCUCAAAUCGCUAGUAGCUGGUUCACGCCGAAGUUUUCCCCCU
rnacentral:rRNA from 1 species